GGGUGUGAGGACUUUCUGACUAUGACAUCAGUCAACCUUUGAUUGUCAGUGUUGGCUUCACUGCUGUCUAGACCAGUGUCAUCUCCCUCCUCCAUGUGUACUCCACCUGAAGCUGCACACUUAAAGAGACUGGACUUCACCGUGAUGAGUCCGGACCAUUUUUCAUUUGAGAAUGUGUGACUAGAUUUACUUUCUUACUCUACCCUCCAAACAAGCUCUCAGAAGCUAGAAUCUUAACUGAAGUGCAAUCCCAGAAAUCAAAUAAUCUAAACAAUCAAGCAUAUCCAUAUCAUAUGAAGGAUAUUUUUU
rnacentral:snRNA from 1 species